UUCCGGUUGAUCCUGCCGGAGGUUACUGCUAUCGGUGUUCGCCUAAGCCAUGCGAGUCAUAUGUAGCAAUACAUGGCGUACUGCUCAGUAACACGUGGAUAACCUGCCCUUGGGACCGGCAUAACCCCGGGAAACUGGGGAUAAUUCCGGAUAACGCAUAUUUGCUGGAAUGCUUUAUGCGUCAAAAGGAUUCGUCUGCCCAAGGAUGGGUCUGCGGCCUAUCAGGUAGUAGUGGGUGUAAUGUACCUACUAGCCAGCGACGGGUACGGGUUGUGAGAGCAAGAGCCCGGAGAUGGAUUCUGAGACAUGAAUCCAGGCCCUACGGGGCGCAGCAGGCGCGAAAACUUUACAAUGCGGGAAACCGUGAUAAGGGGACACCGAGUGCCAGCAUCAUAUGCUGGCUGUCCGGAUGUGUAAAAUACAUCCGUUAGCAAGGGCCGGGCAAGACCGGUGCCAGCCGCCGCGGUAACACCGGCGGCCCGAGUGGUGAUCGUGAUUAUUGGGUCUAAAGGGUCCGUAGCCGGUUUGGUCAGUCCUCCGGGAAAUCUGAUAGCUCAACUAUUASGCUUUCGGGGGAUACUGCCAGACUUGGAACCGGGAGAGGUAAGAGGUACUACAGGGGUAGGAGUGAAAUCUUGUAAUCCCUGUGGGACCACCUGUGGCGAAGGCGUCUUACCAGAACGGGUUCGACGGUGAGGGACGAAAGCUGGGGGCACGAACCGGAUUAGAUACCCGGGUAGUCCCAGCCGUAAACGAUGCUCGCUAGGUGUCAGGCAUGGCGCGACCGUGUCUGGUGCCGCAGGGAAGCCGUGAAGCGAGCCACCUGGGAAGUACGGCCGCAAGGCUGAAACUUAAAGGAAUUGGCGGGGGAGCACAACAA
rnacentral:rRNA from 1 species